UACGUAGGGGGCAAGCGUUGUCCGGAAUCAUUGGGCGUAAAGCGCACGUAGGCGGCCCGGUAAGUCCGCUCUGAAAGUCAGAGGCUCAGCCUCUGGAGGCGAGUGGAUACUGCCGGGCUAGAGUCCGGAAGAGGCGAGUGGAAUUCCUGGUGUAGCGGUGGAAUGCGCAGAUAUCAGGAGGAACACCAAUGGCGAAGGCAGCUCGCUGGGACGGUACUGACGCUGAGGUGCGAAAGCGUGGGGAGCGAACAGG
rnacentral:rRNA from 1 species